rnacentral:rRNA from 1 species
GGGAUUGCCCUAGUAACGGCGAGUGAAGCGGCAAGAGCUCAAAUUUGAAAGCUGGCCCCCUCGGGGUCCGCAUUGUAAUUUGCAGAGGAUGCUUCGGGAACGGCCCCCAUCUAAGUGCCCUGGAACGGGCCGUCAUAGAGGGUGAGAAUCCCGUCUGGGAUGGGGUGGCCGCGCCCGUGUGAAGCUCCUUCGACGAGUCGAGUUGUUUGGGAAUGCAGCUCUAAUUGGGUGGUAAAUUUCAUCUAAAGCUAAAUAUUGGCCGGAGACCGAUAGCGCACAAGUAGAGUGAUCGAAAGAUGAAAAGCACUUUGAAAAGAGAGUUAAACAGCACGUGAAAUUGUUGAAAGGGAAGCGCUUGCGACCAGACUCGCCCGCGGGGUUCAGCCGGCACUCGUGCCGGUGUACUUCCCCGCGGGCGGGCCAGCGUCGGUUUGGGCGGCCGGUCAAAGGCCUCUGGAAGGUAACGCCUCUCGGGGCGUCUUAUAGCCAGGGGUGCCAUGCGGCCUGCCCGGACCGAGGAACGCGCUUCGGCUCGGACGCUGGCAUAAUGGUCGUAAGCGACCCGUCUUGAAACACGGACC